ACCCGCUGAACUUAAGCAUAUCAGUAAGCGGAGGAAAAGAAACUAACUAGGAUUCCCCGAGUAGCGGCGAGCGAAAGGGGAGAAGCCCAGCGCCGAAGCACGCGUCCCUCUGGUCGCGGUGCAAUGUGGCGUUUCGGCGGCGACUGGACAUGUCGUUCUGGCACGAGUAUCUCUGAAUGGGUCUGUCCGCAGCGGGUGUCAGGCCUCUACUUGCCAAACGUUCGACGUGCGCCUGUUGUCGUCGCGGAGUCGGGUUGCUUGAGAGUGCAGCCCAAAGUGGGUGGUAAGCUCCAUCUAAGGCUAAAUACCUAGUGCGAGACCGAUAGCAAACAAGUACCGUGAGGGAAAGUUGCAAAGAACUUUGAAAAGAGAGUUCAAGAGUACGUGAAACCGUUCAGAGGCAAACGGACGGAACUGGGCGAUUCUGUCGUCGUCAUUCAACCGCGGCUCUCGGGCCGCGGUGCACUUGGCGGCGGCGGAGCGCGACGACCGCCUGUCGGGUCGUCAGAAGCCCGGUGGCAAGGUGGCGACGCGUUCGCGCGUCGUGUUACAGGCCGCCGUGGCGUUGGCAGACUUGGCGGGCGAGGAGCGCCUGCGGUGCACUCCCCUCGCGGGAGUGGCCCGACGUGGUGGGCUUGCGGACGCCGGCGACGAACUGCUCGCAGUUUGACGUCGCGCGCGCCGUCUGUCGUGCCGCGCGGUGCCACGGGGCACCCAGGGUCCGGGUCGUGUGGUUCCUGGCACUCCGUCCGACCCGUCUUGAAACACGGACCAAGGAGUUGAGCACGCGCGCGAGUCGAUGGGCAUGUUGAACCCCAGUGGCGCAGCUAAGGCAAAACGGGCGUGAUCCGGCACUGGCGUGUCGGCGCAACGCCGGCCCGCAGGCGACUCGAUGCGAGUGCCUGCGGUGCAAGAGCGUGUGUGCUCAGACCCGAAAGGUGGUGAACUAUGCUUGAGCAGGGCGAAGCCAGAGGAAACUCUGGUGGAGGCUCGCAGCGAUCCUGACGUGCAAAUCGGUCGUCAAACUUGAGCAUAGGGGCGAAAGACUAAUCGAACCGCCUAGUAGCUGGUUCCCUCCGAAGUUUCCCUCAGGAUAGCUGGCACUCGGGAUAAAUGGUUUUAUCCGGUAAAGCGAAUGAUUAGAGGCAUUGGGGACGAAACGUCCUCAACCUAUUCUCAAACUUUAAAUGGGUAAGAGGCGUGACCCUUCCUGAUCGGGGUCGCGUGCUUGAACAGAGAGUGCCCAGUGGGCCGUUUUUGGUAAGCAGAACUGGCGCUGUGGGAUGAACCAAACGCGCGGUUAGGGUGCCUAACGCACGCUCAUGAGAUACCACAAAAGGUGUUGGUUGAUAUAGACAGCAGGACGGUGGCCAUGGAAGUCGGAAUCCGCUAAGGAGUGUGUAACAACUCACCUGCCGAAUCAACUAGCCCUGAAAAUGGAUGGCGCUGGAGCGUGCGACCCAUACCGCGCCGUCGGGGCAAUGCGUGCGAAAUGCCAGGCCCCGACGAGUAGGAGGGCGUGUCGGUGGCGUUGAAGCGUAGUGCGUGAGCACGCGUGGAGCCGCCUUCAGUGCAGAUCUUGGUGGUAGUAGCAAGUAUACAAAUGAGAACUUUGUAGACCGAAGUGGAGAAGGGUUCCAUGUGAACAGCAGUUGGACAUGGGUCAGUCGGCCCUAAGAGAUCGGAGAAUUCCGUUCUGAACGGGGGAGAGGCGUCGCGUGGCAGCCGUCUGAAGCACACAAUGUUCAGGGAUAACACUAUCAGACUUCUGACAGAGCGGUGUGGUCACGCGCACGCGGGUGUCAACCCCGAUGCGAUCGAAAGGGAAUCGGGUUAAUAUUCCCGAACCUGGCAGUGGAGAUUGGGCCUUCGGGCCCCAGUGCGGUAACGCAACCGAACUCGGAGACGCCAGCGUCGAUCCCGGGAAGAGUUCUCUUUUCUUUGUUAGGAGCGGACUCCCUGGAAUUGGCUUGUCCAGAGAUAGGGACGUUGCAUCCGUAAAGCGUCGCGCCUCACGCGGCGUCCGGUGCAUCGGCGUUGGCCCUUGAAAAUCCGAGGGAGGCAGUGUAAUUUUCACUCCAGGCCGUACCCGAAUCCGCAGCAGGUCUCCAAGGUGAACAGCCUCUGGUCGAUAGAACAAUGUAGGUAAGGGAAGUCGGCAAAUCCGAUCCGUAACUUCGGGAUAAGGAUUGGCUCUGAGGUGCGGGCUGCUUCGGGUCGCGGCAAGAAGCGGAUCGUGCGUUGGUUGGACUGGGCGCGUUUCGGCGCGUUCGGACCGCCGCCAGCGCGCGUCCGUGGGAGGCCGUGGCUUUCGCCGGCGUGGGCUCACGUCCGCGUCGGCUUCGUUCGGCCUAAACGCACAGCACAGAACUGGCACGGACUCUGGGAACACGACUGUCUAAUUAAAACAAAGCAUCGCGAUGGCCGCUGGUCGGUGUUGACGCGAUGUGAUUUCUGCCCAGUGCUUUGAAUGUCAAAGUGAAGAAAUUCAACCAAGCGC
rnacentral:rRNA from 1 species